rfam:Musa acuminata subsp. malaccensis Doubled-haploid Pahang (DH-Pahang) genomic chromosome, chr11
AAGCUAGAUGAUGAGAAUGGAUUUUAACAUCUCACGACGGUCAUCUGAGAUGCUUACAGUGUCUAGGUCGAUACAAAUCCUAUCUCUGAUGGCU